rnacentral:rRNA from 1 species
ACUACGGGUGGCAGCAGUGGGGAAUAUUGCACAAUGGGGGAAACCCUGAUGCAGCGACGCCGCGUGAGUGAAGAAGUAAUUCGUUACGUAAAGCUCUAUCAGCCGGGAAGAAAAUGACGGUACCGGAGUAAGAAGCCCCGGCUAACUACGUGCCAGCAGCCGCGGUAAUACGUAGGGGGCAAGCGUUAUCCGGAGUUACUGGGUGUAAAGGGAGCGUAGACGGUGCACCAAGUCUGGAGUGAAAUGCGGGAGUCUAACUGCGGAACUGCUUUGGAAACUGGCGAACUAGAGUGCGGGAGGGGUAAGCGGAAUUCCGAGUGUAGCGGUGAAAUGCGUAGAUAUUAGGAGGAACACCGGUGGCGAAGGCGGCAUACGGGACCGUAACUGACGUUGAGGCUCGAAAGCGUGGGGAGCAAACAGGAUUAGAUACCCGUGUAGUC